GAUGAACGCUGGUGGCGUGUCUAAGGCAUGCAAGUCGAAUGGGUUAGACCCAUGGCAAACGGGUGAGUAACACAUUGGUAACCUACCUCGAAGUUCGGCAUAACUCCGCGAAAGUGGAGAUAAUACCGGAUGUGCUCAUGAUUCGAAAGAAUCAUGCGUAAAGAUUUAUCGCUUCGAGAGGGGCCUAUGGUCUAUCAGCUAGUUGGUAAGGUAAAAGCUUACCAAGGCUACGACGGAUAGCGGGCGUGAGAGCGCGACCCGCCUCACUGGGACUGAGAAACUGCCCAGACUCCUACGGGAGGCUGCAGUCAAGAAUAUUCCUCAAUGGACGAAAGUCUGAAGGAGCGACGCCGCGUGGAGGAUGAAGCCCUUCGGGGUGUAAACUUCUUUUUUCUAGGGACGAACACAUGACGGUACCUGAAGAAUAAGGGGCUGCUAACUUCGUGCCAGCCGCCGCGGUAA
rnacentral:rRNA from 1 species